GGGGGUUUAGCUCAGUGGUAGAGCGCAUGCUUAGCAUGCAAUAGGUCCUGGGUUCAAUCCCCAGUACCUCCA
rnacentral:tRNA from 1 species